AGCGGCGGACGGGUGAGUAACGCGUGGGUAACCUGCCUCAUACAGGGGGAUAACAGUUGGAAACGGCUGCUAAUACCGCAUAAGCGCACAGUACCGCAUGGUACGGUGUGAAAAACUCCGGUGGUAUGAGAUGGACCCGCGUUGGAUUAGCUUGUUGGUGAGGUAACGGCCCACCAAGGCGACGAUCCAUAGCCGACCUGAGAGGGUGACCGGCCACAUUGGGACUGAGACACGGCCCAA
rnacentral:rRNA from 1 species